AACGAACGCUGGCGGCAUGCCUAACACAUGCAAGUCGAACGAGACCUUCGGGUCUAGUGGCGCACGGGUGCGUAACGCGUGGGAACCUGCCUUUAGGUUCGGAAUAACUCAGAGAAAUUUGAGCUAAUACCGGAUGAUGUCUUCGGACCAAAGAUUUAUCGCCUUUAGAUGGGCCCGCGUUGGAUUAGCUAGUUGGUGGGGUAAAGGCCUACCAAGGCGACGAUCCAUAGCUGGUCUGAGAGGAUGAUCAGCCACACUGGGACUGAGACACGGCCCAGACUCCUACGGGAGGCAGCAGUGGGGAAUAUUGGACAAUGGGCGAAAGCCUGAUCCAGCAAUGCCGCGUGAGUGAUGAAGGCCUUAGGGUUGUAAAGCUCUUCUACCCGAGAUGAUAAUGACAGUAUCGGGAGAAUAAGCUCCGGCUAACUCCGUG
rnacentral:rRNA from 1 species